rnacentral:rRNA from 1 species
AGUGAACGCUGGCGGUAGGCCUAACACGUGCAAGUCGAACGGCAGCACAGUAAGAGCUUGCUCUUACGGGUGGCGAGUGGCGGACGGGUGAGGAAUACAUCGGAAUCUACUUUUUCGUGGGGGAUAACGUAGGGAAACUUACGCUAAUACCGCAUACGACCUACGGGUGAAGGCAGGGGAUCUUCGGACCUUGCGCGAUUGAAUGAGCCGAUGUCGGAUUAGCUAGUUGGCGGGGUAAAGGCCCACCAAGGCGACGAUCCGUAGCUGGUCUGAGAGGAUGAUCAGCCACACUGGAACUGAGACACGGUCCAGACUCCUACGGGAGGCAGCAGUGGGGAAUAUUGGACAAUGGGCGCAAGCCUGAUCCAGCCAUACCGCGUGGGUGAAGAAGGCCUUCGGGUUGUAAAGCCCUUUUGCUGGGAAAGAAAAGCAGCAGGUUAAUACCCCGCUGUUCUGACGGUACCCAAAGAAUAAGCACCGGCUAACUUCGUG